rnacentral:lncRNA from 1 species
CGGCAACGGCGGCGGACAGGACUUCUACGACGUCAGCCUCGUCGACGGCUACAACGUCCAGAUGGGAAUCACGACGCGAGACGGAUCAGGCGAUUGCCAAAACGUUGGAUGCGUUUCGGACCUGAACGGGAGCUGUCCGAACGAACUACGCGUUAUGGACGGAGGAAACGUUGUGGCAUGUAAGAGCGCUUGUGCGGCGUUUAACAAACCGGAAUAUUGUUGCACCGGUGCGUUCGAUAAGCCGGAGACUUGUCCGCCGACGGAUUACUCGAGGAUAUUCAAAGCAGCUUGCCCUAAAGCCUACAGCUACGCAUACGACGACGCUUCGAGCACUUUUACUUGCACCAACGCUAAUUACUCCGUCGUUUUCUGUCCCAGAUCAUAGAUACAUACAUGCAUACAUUAUCAUUUAUCACACCAUAAUUAUCAUUAUCAUCGAGUAAAAUUACAGUGGAGUCGCUGGAUGUAAUAAGAGCUUUUGCGGAAUGAGAUAAAUUCCGCAGGCUGACAUUAUAGUUAAUAAUAAAGAUACAGAAUAAAAUUUAUGAAAAAAAUCGUGUGAUUAGCUAUUUUUCUGUGGAAUGACAGCAUAAGUUCAUACUUACCAACAUAAACAUGUCUAAUAUUUAGAACUUGAAUGAUUUUAGUAUUUUACUCACCAAUAAACGCAAAAUAUCUUAAUAAAUCAUAAUUAUAUUAAUUAAUAAUAUGGUAUAUAUUUUCCUUGUACAUAACAACAAGAAAAGCCUAUUAAAAUUCCAAAUACAAUCGGGUUUCUUAUGUUAUUAUAUUCCGUAUGUUCCUAAAUAUAAGAUGUUUAAAAAAAAAUUGAUGUUUCAAUAAUAUGUAUGAGGUUCUAAUAUUUCUAGAUAAUUUUAAAUUUAUCAAAAACUAUGUAACCAAUCAUAUAGUCUAUUUGUUUCAACUAAAAUAUCUUAUAUUUAGGAACUGGGGAAGUAGUUAUUAAUUGUUUGAUCGUUGAUGCAUAGUUACGCUACUAAAUACAUGUUGCAUGGUGAUAUUCAAUUUUCUUGGUAUCUUUAUCCAAGCGCACAUGCGUUCUAUAAAAGUAAUUCACCAUGAUAUGCAUCUAUAACUAUAAGCAGCGAUUCCUGUUCUUAUACGUUUAUACUCCACUAAAGGACUAGUCAGGCAACCAAGUUGCUUUGGUCUAGUGGUAUAGGAGCUCCAGCUGGAGUGUCCGUCCUGGGUUCGAACCUUGGCCACUGCGGAAUUUACAUAUGGGCUGCAGCAUCCGAGACCGAAGACCGUUACGCGGUGAACCACCUGGUGACCUUCGGGUCCAUGCUCGCUUCGGUCUCUAAUCCGGACCACCACGGUGGAUCCAGGAUACUCGGUUAUAAAAAAAAAAAGAACUAGUCAGGCGAAAAAGAAAAGGGAGGCAGAUUCUCCCGCGAGGGUUUAUUAUAUAAGAAGGCGAGAGUAAGAGUAUGAAGUUAUAUCAAAUCUGAUUGCAGCAACAAAAGAGAGAUUGAAAAUCUUGAAUAUGUGUUUAUUGCGCAAAGAGAAGGACGUAGAUGAGUGCAUGGAGAGAGAUGAAGAGGAAGUUUGGUUGUAUGUUUUGUUUUACUCGCAACAGGCCCAUCAAUAAAUUAUGUUUCAAUCUAUAAAAUAAUGUUACUACUCAAUUUAAAACAAAAAAAAAAGGACUGAGAGAAAGGUCACAUAAAACAUAUUUACAUUGUAACAUACUAAAAUCAGAACAGAUAGUAAAUUCAAUUGGAAGCUUUAGAGAGUCAUGUUUCUUGAUUUCAGGGUCUUUUUUUGUUUGAUUGGGGGUAAUUACAUGGUUAAACAACAGAAGCAAGAAGAAACAACAUUCUACUCCUUAGCCAAAUAUCUCCGGAACGAGCUAAAACUUGCUGCAGCAAGCCACAAAUGGUUACUCAAGUUGGCAUCACUUUACUUAGAGGAUCUAUUAUUAAAGUCAGGGCUUGUUUCUUUUAGCUGAUGCAGUUAAGAUCGGUGUUUCUGGCUUCUUUGGAUUGCAACUUGCAGGCUCUCUUCAUUCUCUUUGCAGCUUGAACAAACCCCAUAAUAACUUGAGGCUCAUCCAUUUGCUGAAAGUAUCAUACAUAUUUAAAUUGUUUUAUCAGAACCAAUAUUAUAAUAACACAUGAGACGAAUCAAGUGAAGUCUGAGAAGGAUAUAGGCAUGUACCUGAGACAUAAAGUGUCUCUGAACAAUGUCAAUUAGUUGCUCCUUUGAUGGAUUUGGAAUUGCAUCCACCUACAAGGAGUUUAUUCAUGAGCAAAAGGACACAGGAGCAAGCACAUACAAAAGUAGAGUUCCAGAUUGGAUAAAGUGAAGGCUUUCUUCUUUUUUACGAGGUUGAAAUGUUGCCAAUAUUUGAGUAAAGCAGGCAUUUCCAGUUUGCUAAGAUCAACCUUCUGCGUGAAAGCAUAUUAGUACAAGAUCAGUCGCCUUAUAUUCAAUACCAAAUGGAAUAAAAUUUAUAAUAAAAAUUGAAUGCUUACCAUGUUUUGAGGGAGAGUAAAAGCAGAGCUUUUUGAUUGUGAGUCAGAUGAUAGAGACCUGCUCAGGGUCUUGUGAAAUGACCGUGAUGAUCUCUGCCCUCUUAGCUUCGACUUAUGAGGCUUCAGUGUGUCCUCGGAUGCUGGAAAAGAAACAACUUGUCAUAGAAACAAGGCUGAGAAUAUCAGUUUAAAAAGGUUACAGACAGCUUUUAUGUGUGUCCAAAGAACAAUAUGCCUCUUAGUAACUCACUGGAUACUAAAUAAAGUUAAGAAAACUCUUAUCAAAGUAUUUAUACAAUUGACAGAAUCCUUAAAUAAAAUUCAUUCCUUUUCUUUUUUGGUGGAAAUUUUGAAAAGCAGAAUCUUGAAGAAAGGCAAGGAAUCAAACUUACUCAUAUCAGAACCAUUCCUCAGUGUAUUUUCGAAAUCAAGAUCAUCGUCUACUUCAUUUCCAGUAGGAGCUUCAAGGACACUGAAUGCAUUCCUCUGCAACUUUACUUCUAUUCCAUUUGUCAACACCUAAAAAUGAUUGGGAUUAAAUAAUAUUACUCCAUAAACAAGUACUGACAGAUUCAUUUAAAUAAACUCCAGAAGAAGAAGAGCAGAUAUGACAUGUUCCCGUGUCCACGUUGGGUGGAACCCAAGCUGGGACACAACGUUCCUAAAGAAACUCCACUCUAGUCUAUUGUACACCCUGUUCAUAUCCGUUUUAACGGCCAUUGAACAGUGUCUCUUUGCUGAUGAAGUACACAAAUAAUGGAAAAUUUGAUAAGAAAUCAAUACACUGUCAGAGAUUGACCUCCUGCUACAAAGGCAAACUGAUGAAGUUGCGAUGAUCUUGCGAGGAACACACAGCUACGGGCCUAUAAUCAAUCAUAACAGUCCUCGGGCUCUUUGUCUUCGAAUUAGUCGGACACAAGUUUCGUUUUUGCCGCCUUUGAAUAGAUCCCGUUUAAAAGGUUUCAACUCUAUGUUGGACAAGUUCCAUUGGUAAAAAUGCUGCUGGGCUAACAUUUUGUUUUAAAUCUCGGAUUCAUUUGAAUAGUGUGACGAAGUGUGUUGCUUGUAGAUUUUUUUUUUUUCUAGGUUGUCCACAUAUUUUUUAUAAAACUAAAGAUUUUUACUGAUAAUUCAGUACAUAUAUAACACUUUAUUUUUUUUAGAACGUAAUCAAUACUAGCAUUUUGACGUACGUGGAAACUAAAAAAACGUAAAAUGACAAACUGAAAACGAAAUAAACUCGUACAAGAAAAUUCAACAUGUGUCGUAUGUUUUCGACGUUCGAAUAAAUACGCGAUCAUAAUGAUAGUAGAAAAGUAAGCACCAAUUGGCAAUUGCCAUAUCUACUAGCUUUUCUCGCAUAUACCCAACAUCAGUUAGCAAAAGGACACACGACUUAGACUGGCAGCAAGAAAAUUAUAAUUCAAAAAUUUCUGACGGAACAUGCUAAAACUAAAGGACAAAUUAAUGAAUCACAUAUACAAGCUUAUGUAUCAGAUGAAUCUUUAGAAAAAUGAUAUAUAAAUUUGUUGUCUUAGAUGCCUUUAAUUAAAUUUGGCUCUACCAAGGAAAUAACCAUUACAAAAGAAUAUUCAACCAGUUUAGCAAAUAAAGAAAGAAUAUUCAACCAUAUGUUACAAACUAGAUCAGAUCACAUGGUAUGUUUUUGUCAAGUCUCCCCAACCCCUGUUUUACUUACAAAGUCGUCUAUAUAUCGUUUUUUGCAUUUAUUUUUUUAUUAUGCCUGUGAAAGAACUACUUGUGGAAUUUAGUUCUGUCUGUAACUUGGUCAAAUAUUGUUUGAAGAAAUGAUAGAAUUCAUUCGGUUGCACACUUGAGAAGAUUACUAUAAAUAGAGGGAUCCGUGCCAUGAACUUACUACUACAUUCAUCAUUACACAUUCGAUUAAUACUUGAGAAUUUAAAAAAAUGGCGCGUUUCUCUGGUUUACACCUUCUCUUCUUCUCCUUCAUCAUAGCUACAGGUAUACGUACACACAUGAUACGUACACUUUGCUCUAAUCUUCUAGUAAAUCAUUAUGGUUCUUAUCAGCGUUCCGCAUAAGUUUUCACAAUACGUACUUGUUUCAUGCAUAGAAAAGGAUAUAGUACAAGUAUUUCAAAGGAUAUAUAAUACAAUCUAAUAAAACUAUAUAAGUAACUUUGAUUGUGUACUAUGCAAGGCACAGUUACCGUCGUAUCCGGCACCGUCUUCACCGUCGUGAACAGCUGCAGUUUCCCCGUCUGGCCGGGAAUCCUCACCGGAGACAACGGUGUACAACUCAACGACGGGGGAUUUGAAUUAGCCCCAGGAGCUUCCGUCGAUGUAACCGCACCUGCGGGAUGGUCUGGCCGAAUAUGGGGGCGAACGGGCUGCAACUUCGAUGGCUCCGGCGCGGGAAGUUGCCUCACCGGAGACUGCGGCAACAAACUAAAAUGCGCAGGCGCAGGAGGAGUUCCACCGGUCACACUCGCCGAAUUCACAAUCGGCACUGGUGGCGGGCAGGACAACUACGACGUAAGCCUGGUCGAUGGUUACAACAUCCAGAUGGCACUCACAACGCGUGACGGCUCAGGCGAUUGCCAAAACGGUGGAUGCGAUUCGGACCUGAACGGGAGCUGUCCGAACGACCAACGCGUUAUGGACGGAGCGAACGUUGUGGCGUGUAGGAGCGCAUGCGAGGCAUUUAAAAAGCCUGAGUAUUGUUGCACCGGUGCGUUCGAUAAACCGGAGACUUGCCCGCCGACGGAAUUGUCGAAGAUAUUUAAAGCAG